rnacentral:tRNA from 2 species
GCCGAGGUGGUGGAAUGGUAGACACACGGGACUCAAAAUCCCGCGAUAGCAAUAUCAUGAGGGUUCAAGUCCCUCCCUCGGCA